ensembl:lincRNA
CCCUUCUUCCCCUCAGAGCCUCUAAAAAUUAAAGAUCAUGGAAGGUUCCUCGCCCUAGAGCCCGCGACAGAGAAAUAACCCCACGGAUCACAGGUGGACACAUCUAUCCGACCCCAAGGGCCUAACGAGUCCGAGGACGGAUCCCACAUCACCCAGCAGGAGAUGAAGGCGGAGAAAAACAAUUGACCAAUCGCCAUCACUGAAUUGACCAAUCGCCAUCCUUGAAGCCCUGCUCUGUUCUUUGAUUGGCUUUAAUGGUGACGCCCCGUUCCGAAUUCCUUGCUCGGAUUGGUCUACUUCUUGCUUCUGACCUGGAUGGUGGCCAGAGGAGGACAAGAGACUUCCAGACAGAAUGGAGGGACGAUUUGGGUGACAUCUGAGACGCAGUCGCACACCAACAUGCAGCCGGGCUCCGGGGACGUGGCGGCGGCCUCUGUGGUCUCGGUGCUGCUGAUGGCGACUGCGAGGAGCGGGUGGCAGCGCCUCCCGAGCCCGGCGCUGCGGCGGAGCUUCAGCUGGAGAAAUUUUCUGCUGGGAAGCUCAUCCUCAAAGAGAAAGCUGAGACCACUGCGUUCAGAAUUCAGAUGUGACAUAAGGUAUAGAACGCUUUUCUAUUUCCUUGAUUAUCAUGUUUUUGUGAAACUUCAUUUAAACCUGCUUUUCUUUCUUAGACAGCAUUUUCUGCAGAUAUGUUUUAUUACCAAGUAGAGCUUUGCACUCAUAAAGGCUAUAUAUACCUUAACCAUUCCCCUAAUGUUAUAGAAAUGGGUCUCUCACUGAUGACCACACACUAGGUCUUCCUGUACCCUGUGCUGGUCCCUUCUGGUAUAUUUUGCUCACUCCUCCACAUGUGGCUGUGUCUUCCAUAUCUGCAGCCACUUCCUUGGACACUGGAGAUAGAGAUAGAGUCGUGCUCCAGUGGACCCCGGCUAGCUGGCUCAUGGUUUCUCCUUCUAAAUCACACCCUGGAGGCUCAGAUGCCCUUGAGUUCGCAUGAUUUAUUGUUGAGUUGCUUCCUCUUCUCUUCACCAUCCUAUGACAGAAGUGUUGGUUUACCUGGAGACUUAAGCACCCCUGUAGAAUCAUGGAUCUGAACAUAGGAAGGACCAUGACAAGAACUCCUGGCUGCUGCAUACAUGAGUUGGCCUCCCGCCCCCCAACAAACACCCUGCUUAGCAUCCUCACUAAAUUGUGGCCCAAACUCUUUCUAACACUUCAGGAAGCUGGAAAUCCAUCACCUCUUGAAAGUAGCUUAGUACAGUUUCAGUUAGCCAUUAGAACGUUCUUCCCUCUAAAUGGAGUCAAAACAUGUGCUUUCCCAAAUAACCCUCAUAAUUUUUCCCCAGGUUAAUUUUGAUCUUCAGAGCAUGAGAAAAAAGAAUCUCAUCUAGUCAUCCAUUUUAUAUUUAAAAUUCUUAAUUUCCAGAUUCAUUUAACUAAUUCUCAUUGAGUGCUUUUUGUGUGAUCUUUCAUCUUCUAGUAAAUGAAAACACAACUACAUAUUUCUCACAAGAGAUUCUUGGGCUUGAACAAACUUUUCACUUUGCCUUCCUCUUUUAAAAAUUAGUAAUUAGCACAGAUAGAAGCUCCAGAUUAAAUUACUUAAAUUUAGCAGAGCUGGAGCUCUUGGAUAAAUCAAAGACCUCACACUCAAAUGUCUGCAGGGAGCUGGCCCAGCGACAUAAGUGAGUAAAAAAGCCAGUUUUUUUUUUUUAAGAAAAACAAGGACAGGGUGCCUGGGUGGCUCAGUGGGUUAAGCCGCUGCCUUCGGCUUGGGUCAUGAUCUCAGGGUCCUGGGAUCGAGUCCCACAUCGGGCUCUCUGCUCAGCGGGGAGCCUGCUUCCCUCUCUCUCUCUCUCUCUN